rnacentral:rRNA from 1 species
UACAGCGGGGGCAAGCGUUAUUCGGAAUUAUUGGGCGUAAAGGGCGCGUAGGCGGCUUUGCAAGUGACGGGUGAAAUCCCUCGGCUUAACCGAGGAACUGCCUGUCAAACUGCAUGGCUUGAGACCGGGAGAGGUGAGUGGAAUUCCCAGUGUAGCGGUGAAAUGCGUAGAUAUUGGGAGGAACACCAGUGGCGAAGGCGGCUCACUGGACCGGUACUGACGCUGAUGCGCGAAAGCGUGGGGAUCAAACAGG